GUGACAUAACAAUAGUAACAUUCUACUGAAGUUUAUAAGACAGUCAGAAAAACUAGAUUUAAAUCAUUGCAACUCAAGACUCCAGCCAGUGAGCCACAGUCGUAGUGAGAGCCAAACACUUGUGUAAAACCACAAAAUCUGCAAUAUUGAGAGGUAUUUCAAGCCACAUUUGUGACCUAAGCCUUCAGUGAACUGAGUUGGCAAAGAGUCCUGAUACCACCAGAUACUUCUUGUAGAAAAUUCCGAGACCACAAUCUGCCACAAGAAAACCAUGUCUGCCUUCGGGGAUUUUUUGAGCCCUCUGAAGCAGUUACGCUUUUUGAUCUAGACAGCUCAUGGUCGAUCCCUGCUCCUGCCUUGGUGUACGAAACACUGAGACCUGAAGACAUUAUGGAACAAAGUCAUUAUCAGGCCAAUGCAAACCAGGAACAGUUGCUGUCCCAUCAGCUGACAGUAGAUAAUGCUGCAACAGUAUCCCCAGCUGCCAGUCAGCCUGUGAGUGCUGCUGCUCCUCAACAAUUCGUCAAUGGACUGCAGAUAAUCUCUGAAGAGCUCAUGAAGCAGCUGCAGCCUGUUGGAGAGUAGCAAG